UGGGGAAUAUUGGACAAUGGGCGCAAGCCUGAUCCAGCCAUGCCGCGUGAGUGAUGAAGGCCCUAGGGUUGUAAAGCUCUUUCACCGGUGAAGAUAAUGACGGUAACCGGAGAAGAAGCCCCGGCUAACUUCGUGCCAGCAGCCGCGGUAAUACGAAGGGGGCUAGCGUUGUUAGGAUUUACUGGGCGUAAAGCGCACGUAGGCGGACUUUUAAGUCAGGGGUGAAAUCCCGGGGCUCAACCCCGGAACUGCCUUUGAUACUGGAAGUCUUGAGUAUGGUAGAGGUGAGUGGAAUUCCGAGUGUAGAGGUGAAAUUCGUAGAUAUUCGGAGGAACACCAGUGGCGAAGGCGGCUCACUGGACCAUUACUGACGCUGAGGUGCGAAAGCGUGGGGAGCAAACAGG
rnacentral:rRNA from 1 species